GACGAACGCUGGCGGCGUGCUUAACACAUGCAAGUCGAACGGAAAGGCCCCUUUGGGGGUACUCGAGUGGCGAACGGGUGAGUAACACGUGAGUAACCUGCCCUUGGCUUCGGGAUAACUUCAGGAAACUGGGGCUAAUACCGGAUAGGAAUCCUUGCUGCAUGGUGGGGGUUGGAAAGCUUCGGCGGUUUUGGAUGGACUCGCGGCUUAUCAGCUUGUUGGUGGGGUAGUGGCUUACCAAGGCUUUGACGGGUAGCCGGCCUGAGAGGGCGACCGGCCACAGUGGGACUGAGAUACGGCCCAGACUCCUACGGGAGGCAGCAGUGGGGAAUAUUGCACAAUGGGCGGAAGCCUGAUGCAGCAACGCCGCGUGCGGGAUGACGGCCUUCGGGUUGUAAACCGCUUUCAGCAGGGGCGAAGCUUGUGGUGACGGUACCUGCAGAAGAAGCACCGGCUAACUACGUG
rnacentral:rRNA from 1 species